rnacentral:rRNA from 1 species
UUUUACGGUCAGUUUGCCCUGAUUAUUGAUUGUCGUCUUACUACCGCUGACUUCAACGCCGUGCCCCGCACCGUUAACGGUAAUAUCACCUUUCUGUUGCAACGAAACGCGAUCGCCGACAAUUUUCGCCCCGACAGAGUUUUGAUCAACGACCAUAUCACCGGUGAUAUCAAUGGUAUUAUCAUCACCUGUAAUGGUCACCCCGGUGGACUGUUUC